rnacentral:lncRNA from 1 species
CAAACUCCAACAAUGAAAAACCCUCCUACACCUACGUUUCCACUUUCUCUUUCCCUCCAAAGUUUUUCCCUUAAAUUUUCAUUCUCUCUCAAACCUAAUUCCACUUCUUCAAUUGAGGCAGAAAGAUUCAGCAAAAAUUAGCCUAUCUAUUUGAAUUUCCAGCAAACAAACUUGAAGGAAGUUAAGCAAAUUUUCAGAGAAACUCGGUUUGAAGAGAUCUGGAAACGAGAAUUGUCAUAUAAAUUCGUAUAGGUAAUUUUCAUAUCAGAAUUUGGCUUUCAUUUCAGGACUUGAAAAUAGUGUCGAUUUAUUUAUGAGUGAAUUCCUCUGCAGUUUCCCCGUUUGAAUUACUGUAAUUUUGGACUGCAUGAGUGAGUAUUUGGUUUGUUUUGCCGCCACUUGGUUUAAUUUCAUUCGUUAUUUGGCUUUUCAGUUCAAGAUUUUUGUUUCUUGAACCAAAUACAUUUAAUAAAAUGAUCCUCAUCAUGUAAGCAAUUAAUUCAUACUUUAAUAUCAAGAUCUUGGAAUUCUAUGAUUUUCACGUAUGAGUAAUUUGAUCAAGUAACAUACCUUGAUCCAUGAAGAAAAUUGGAAUUUAUUAAAUCUGCAAAAGAGAAAUUAGUGAGAAUAAAGAAAACUGUUCUCUCUCUUUUCCUUACUGUUCUUGAAUGUUCUCUUUGAUGGUUUUUCAUUCACGUUAAAAAGGCAGAGAGAAGCAGUUUUCUUUUAGACCAAAACUACCCACUUUCCAUCAAAGUGGACAGUUACAAAACUGUCACUUCUCAAUGACCAAUCAGAUUUUUAAUAAAUAUAGACCAAAUAUUAAUUUAUUUAUAAUAUUACGUGGGACCACAUUAAUUGGUCUAACAUUCUCCUACUUGGCCCGAGUAAUAUUACAUCAUUAUGUGGUCUAUAACAUAAUGCGCAUACGAUAAGCUAAAAUCCUUCAUACAUUGGUCACUUAAUAUAUCAUCGUUAAGUAAUGACGAAUAAGAGUCAUGGCCAUUUUAUACCAUCAUUUUGGCAUGAUUCCUUCCAUAUACUACAAUAUAAGUCCUUACUCAACAUGAUACGUAAUGAGAAGUUUCUAAUAAUAUCUUUAAAUUGCUAUUCCUAUCAGCAUUCAGAUAAUUCACUCAUGUACAUGUACCAACAAUUAUGACAGGAAUAACAUAUGUCAAAAACAAUACAUAAUUGAGCUCCAAGUGUCAAUACAUAAGCAUCAUCAAUUACAUAAUAAUGUCAAUGAUAAUUUUCAAUAAUGCCCAUCCUUUUGACAUGUUCAUUAAAUGUCUUUGGAAACAAUCCUUUCGUUAAUAGAUCUGCAAUCAUAAGAUUGGUGCUAAUAUGCUCGAUUGACACCUUUUGUUUUUGAACAUCUUCUUUAAUGGCAAAGUACUUCAAUUUCAUGUGUUUAGAACCUUUAGAGUACUUGUCGUUCUUUGAAAAGAAGACUGCUGCAAAAUUAUCACAAUAAAGUUUCAGCGGCUUGGCUAUACUGUCGACAAUUCCAAGUCCUGAAAUAAAGUUUCGCAGCCAAUUUCCUUGAACUGUGGCCUCAAAGCAUGCCACAAACUCGGCUUCCAUAGUGGAUGCAGCAAUGACUGACUGCUUCGCACUUUUCCAUGAUAUAGCCCCUCCAGCUAAGAGGAACAAAUAGCCAAAUGUAGACUUUCUAGUAUCCAUACAUCCAGCAAAGUUUGAAUCUGAAUAUCCAAUGACCUCCAAGUUAUCAGAUCUCCUAUAAGUGAGCAUGUGGUCUUUCGUUCCUUGCAAGUAUCUCAAUACUUUCUUUGUAGCUUUCCAAUGAUCAAGUCCUGGGUUACUUUGAUACCUGCCCAGCAUUCCGACAGCAAAACUGAUGUCUGGCCUGGUGCAAGUCUGAGCAUACAUUAGGCUCCCAACAAGAGAUGCAUAAGGAAUAGCUGCCAUUUGUUUGCGUUCCAAGUCAUUCUUAGGACAUUGCAUGAGACUAAAUUUGUCUCCUUUCUGAAUUAGAACGACACUCGUUGAACAAUUUUCCAUUUUAAAUCUCUCUAAAAUUUUAUUGAUAUAUGCUUUUUGACACAACCCUAACAAUCCUUGUGACCUAUCACGAAAUAUUUCAAUUCCAAUCACAUAGGUUGCCUCUCCCAUUUCUUUCAUUUCAAAAUUUUUAGAGAGAAAUUUCUUAGUCUCUUGUAAUAGACCAAGAUCAUUAGUAGCUAGCAAGAUAUCAUCAACAUACAUAAUCAAAAAUAUAAACUUGCUCUCACUGACCUUUAGAUAUAUACAUCGGUCAACGAUGUUUUCCUUAAAUCCAAAAGAAAUAAUGAUAUCGUUGAACUUAAGAUACCAUUGACGUGAAGCCUGUUUAAGUCCGUAUAUUGAUUUCUUUAACUUACACACCAUGUGUUCCUUUCCUUUAACUGAAAAACCUUCAGGCUGAUCCAUAUAAACUUCUUCAUCUAAAUUUCCAUUUAGAAAGGCGGUUUUCACAUCCAUUUGAUGUAGCUCUAAGUGAUAAUGAGCUACUAAAGCCAUUAUAAUUCUGAGUGAGUCUUUCUUGGAGACUGGCGAAAAUGUCUCCUUAUAAUCAAUGCCACUUUUCUGAGUAAAACCUUUGGCAACUAGUCUAGCUUUAUAUCGUUCGAUAUUACCAUUAGAGUCGCGCUUGGUCUUAAAGACCCAUUUACACCCAACUCUUUUACAUGAUUCUGGUAAUUCGACGAGAUCCCAGACUUCAUUAUGCUUCAUAGAUUUUAACUCAUCUUUCAUAGCAUCUAACCACUUAUCAGAAUUGGCGCUCUCAAUGGCAUGUGAAAAUGAAACUGGAUCAUCAUCAACAAUUCCCAAGUUAAAUUCAGACUCUUGUAGGUAAACCACAUAAUCAUCAGAAAUAGCAGGUCUACGUUGUCUUUGUAACCUUCUUAAUGCUAUUUCUUGUGGUUCAUUUAAUGCAGGUUCAUUAGUAGCAACUUCAUUGUGGGGUGUUUGUUCAUUUAUUUGUUGUUCAGGUAAAUUGUUAUGCCGUCCAACAAUUUGAGGAACAACAACAUUAAAAGAAGUUGAGGGUAGAGAAACUUGAACUCUAACUUCUUGUAUUUCCACAUUUCGUGGUUCCAAACUCCCACUAACUUCACCAUUCUCAAUGAACCUAGCAUUUCGUGGUUCCAAACUCUCACUAACUUCACCAUUCUCAAUGAACCUAGCAUUUCCAGUUUCAACAAUUUUAGUACUAUGAUUAGGACAAUAAAAUCUAUACCCCUUUGAUUUUUCUGGAUAACCAAUGAAAAAUCCACUGAUUGUUCUUGAGUCUAGCUUCUUUUCAUGUGGAUUAUAAAUUCUUGCUUCUGCCGGGCAACCCCAAACAUGCAGGUGUCUUAAACUGGGUUUCCUUCCCGUCCACAGUUCAAAAGGAGUCUUUGGAACUGUCUUACUAGGAACCCUGUUUUGUAGAUACAUGGCAGUCUUUAAUGCAAACAUCCACAAGGAAAUAGGUAAAGAUGAAUUGCUCAACAUACACCUAACCAUUUCUAUUAGAGUACGAUUACGCCUUUCAGCCACACCAUUUUGUUGUGGUGUGCCUGGCAUAGUGUAUUGAGAACAUAUGCCAUGUCUUUCAAGAAAUUUAGCAAAUGGACCAGGGUGUUGUCCAGUUUCAUCAUAUUUUCCAUAAUAUUCACCACCUCUAUCAGAUCUAAUAAUUUUCACCUUUCUGUCUAAUUGUCGUUGUCUAAUUGUCGUUCAACUUCAUUGACAAAGAUCUCUAAAGCAUUUACAGCUUGAGACUUUUCAUGCAGCAAAUAAACAUAGCCAUAACGUGAAAAAUCAUCAAUAAAGGUGAUAAAAUACUUUUCUUCACCAAAUGAUGAAACAUCAAAAGGCCCACAUAUAUUGGUGUGUAUUAUCUCAAGAAGCUGUGUGCUUCUUGUGGCUCCUUUCUUUGUAUGUUUGGAUUGUUUACCCUUAAUACAAUCCACACAAAUUCCAAGAUCACUAAAAUCCAAGUCAUGAAGAAUUUCAUUCUUUACUAAUCUUUCCAUCCUUUCCUUGGAUAUGUGACCCAAACGUUUAUGCCACAAGUUAGCAGACCGUUCAUUCAGCAAACCACGUUUAGUACCAACAUUAUGAUGCAAGGUUAAAAGAGUCUCAGCAAAAAGAUUAUCAAGCUUUAAUUUGUAUAAGCCAUCACAAAGAAUAGCGGAACCAAUAAGAUGAUUUUGCUUAAACAAAUUCAAACAUCCAUUUCCACCAUUACAGAAAUAUCCAGUGGAAUCAAGUUUUGAUAAGGAAACUAAAUUGCGAGAAAUGGAAGGUACAUAAAGUGUUUGAAAUAAAUCUAAAUCAUGUCCAGUAUCUAAAAUCAAACGAUAGGUUCCAAUGGCUUCAACUGGAGCUUUGACUCGAUUUCCCAUUAGGACAAACUUUUCAUUUGGAUUUAUGGUCUGGGUUGAAAGAAAUCCCUGCAUCGUAUUAGUAACAUGAGUGGUACAUCCAGAAUCAAUCCACCAAAUAUUAUAAGGAACUUCUGCCAAAUUAGAUUCGAAACAUACGUAAGAAAUAAUCUUACCUUUACUUUCGAACCAUGCCUUACGUUUCAGGCAGUCCUUUUUAUGGUGCCCAGGUUUGCGACAGAAAUGGCACACAUCUUUCUUGUGUUCCUUAUUGUGGAUUUGGGCAGAAGACUCAUUUAUCUUUAGUGGUCCUUGCUUAAUGCCCUUUCCAGACCUUUUCUUAUAUUUCUUUCCAGCUCCUUGAUGACUUACAAGAUGAAUAGAAUGAGUUCCUUGAUUCUUAAGCCUUGUCUCCUCUUGUACGAGCAUACUGUGCAAUUCAUUCACAUUCUAUUUGUCCUUUAAGGUAUUAUAAUUCAUAUGAAAUGGACCAUACUCAGGAGGCAAAGAGUUAAUGAUAAACUGUACUAGGAAGUUCUCAUCCACAGUCAUCCCAAGAGUCUUAAGUCUUGCUGCAAUGUUACUCAUUUCAGUAACGUGUUCAUGCAUGGUACGAGAACCAUCAAAUUUCAUGGUGGUUAAUGUACCCAUCAGUAUGCCAGCAAGCGAUUUGUCAGCUGUUUAGGAACGUUCUUCCACAAAUUUCAUAUAUUCCUUGGCGCUCUCAGUUUUAGGGAUAGUAGACUUGAUAUUCUUUGCCAAGGUCAUUCGCAUAAACAUUAGGCUUAAUCUGUUAGACCUUUUCCAAGCCUUAUGGAAAGAUUUUUCAUCAGCACUGCUCUCAUGAGUGAGAUCAGCAGGUUUCUCAACUUGAAGUGCCAAGUCCAAAUCCAAAACACCUAAGUUGAACUGGACUUGUUCACACCAGUCAGAGAAAUUGAGCCCAUUGAACAGUGGUACAGAUGAAGCAUGCGGAUGCAGAGAAACGGGAACAGAUACUGCAAAAUAUAAAAUGCUCUAACAUUAAUGCUUUGAGUUUUGACUUAAACACUUAGUUUAGAUUCGGACAACAAUAAAUGUAUACCGUAGUUCUCCUUUGGGUGAUACUACGCUAUACCAUCAUAAUAAACAUAGUGAUGCUAAUUAAAUUUCACUUAAUUGGUAAUUAAUCAUACUCCAAUUAACCAUGUCUGUCAUCUUUGGAUAUACAAAACACAUCCAAUUAAGUAUAUCAAUUAACCACGAUCAUGUUCAAGAUUAAUAAAACUGACUGAUCAACCUUUGGGCGAUCCAUAAUAAUUUUAUAAUCUAUGAACGUCAAUACACUCUUGACAUCAAUAAUUUUAAUGUCAUUUCCUGUUAUAAGCAUCACAUUAUCAAGAGUGUUUGACAAAUAAAUUAUGUAAUUUAAUGUUUACAUCCCAUAAUGUUUGGCCACUUUGGUGACUAACAAACAAUAUUAAUUGAACAUAAAUUACAUAAACAAAAUAUUUAUCACAUAACAUUAAUUUUAGAUUUACGUACAUUUGACCAGCCACAAAACACAUGAUAAAUUAAUUGAAGCAGUCAUCUAAUCACAUAGUACAAUUAAUCGUUCAUGUGAGGCAGUCAGUAGUACAAUUAAUAUAUAUAUGGCCCAGAUACUUUAAAAAUUCGACACCCAAACUGCACUAAUUACAGAAUUACUACAGUAAAUUAGGCACUCAUUUAUACUGUCAUUUCAACAGUGAGCGUACCACCUUCUGUAGUUACUGUAUAAAAUUAAUAUGCACACAGUUCUGCCAUUGUCUUGGAAUUAGAGCCCUUUUGAAAUAAACAUUUGAUACAAAGGCCAAUUUGACAUAAAUAUAGGCGUGCACUCUUUCGUUUCAAUGUGUCAGGUUUCCAGUUUCUAUUCAUAUAAUAAUCAUGUUAUAAAUGGUGAUGGUCCCCAUAAAUUCAUAGGCAGAAAGGUAGCCCAGAAACUUCCAAAAUUAUAUACGUACAGUGGACGGCAGAUCCACUUUUCAUUGUGAAAACCAAGAAAUCAACUUUUCUUCAACCAAUAAUAAUUCAUCAGGUUUGACAUAAUUAAUAAUGUUUUCUACGGAAGUCAUCCCAUCCGUUAAUUUACAUAAUACGUGAAACAAUAAUAAAUGCAAUUGAUGUGUAAUUUUUCUGAUGAAACAGGGACUGCUCUUUUCACAGAUUAAUAUCGGUGCAGUAAAAAAUCAAAGAUCCAUUUAUUAUUUUAACAGCAGUCAAUCAGAAAACAGAAACAUAUUUGCAGCGGAAUCUGUCAUUCUUAUUUUACGCAUUGAUCCAUAAAUCGAUACGAAAAAUUAAAGAUCUAUGAAUGUAAAACAUUAAUCUUUAACGAAAAAUCAUGAAUUCCAUAACUUGGGCUCUGAUACCACAUGUAAGCAAUUAAUUCAUACUUUAAUGCCAAGAUCUCGGAAUUCUAUGAUUUUCACGUAUGAGUAAUUUGAUCGAGUAACAUACCUUGAUCCAUGAAGAAAAUUGGAAUUUAUUAAAUCUGCAAAAGAGAAAUCAGUGAGAAUAAAGAAAACCGUUCUCUCUCUUUUCCUUACUGUUCUUGAAUGUUCUCUUUGAUGGUUUUUCAUUCACGUUAAAAAGGCAGAGAGAGGCAGUUUUCUUUUAGGCCAAAACUACCCACUUUCCAUCAAAGUGGACAGUUACAAAACUGUCACUUCUCAAUGACCAAUAAGAUUUUUAAUAUAUAUAGACCAAAUAUUAAUUUAUUUAUAAUAUUACGUGGGGCCACAUUAAUUGGUCUAACACAUCAGCGAUCUUAUAAGCAUAAUUUUGGAACGCCCUUUAUUUGUGGGUGUUGCGAUCUGGGAAAGGCUUUAAGGAGAGUGAGAGAAGGGGCGCGAUGAUACACACUUAAAGGUGAUCUGAAGGGAUAUGGGAAUGUUACGAGAAGUUUAAGAAAAUCAGCCCACUUAUUUCACAAAAAUACGAAAUAAUAAACUGCAAAUCAAAGAAACAUAAAAAAGAAAAAAAAACGCAAAGGACACGAUAUUUUCGCCCUAAGGCAAGAGGUUCAGAACCGGAGUUCCUAAACCCUUUUUGAGCUUUCGUCACCGGAAGGAAUCACUAUAUUAACCGGAAUCUCCAAAAAAAUUAUAGAUCAUAGUUCAUGACACUCAGGCGAAAUCACAUCAAGAUUUCGUACACAACAACCCACACUGCAUAUUAGAACAUCCACUCAAGGAUUACGCCCUACAAAACCACUCAAGAUCUAUUAUGGGGCUGAGAAUACAUUUAGAUCUACAGGGGGCUUUUUGAAUGCAAAGGAGAAUCGAAGAACCAACAACAGAGAGUUCGAGAGAGAGAGCUGAAAAAUGAAAAGUCGCACCAUCUCAAACCCUAGAAGCCAGAUUAAUAUCGAAGGAGCUAGAAGAUUCCUCACCAACGAUGAGUAGAGUGACACUUGGCAACAUCUGGAGUGUAUUCUUAUUAAAGAAAAACGGGUUUCAGCAACACUCGUUUUAUGCCAAGCAGAUCAGCCCAGCUCAGUGAUCAAAUGAUCCAACCCACAAGCCCAUCAGUUUUAAUAGUCCAGCCCAAUCAUCAUUGUGCCACAAUAUUUUCUCUACAUUCUCCACCUUGGUACAAGGAUUCCAGCAUCAUUUAUAGUGAUUCCUACAGUCAUGACAUCAUUUGCUUGGGUACCUGAUACACAAAUCAGCAGCAAUUUAUAUUAAGCUGCUUUAAACAGUCCAAGAACUUAUUUAAAGACAGCACUUUGGUUCCAACAUCAGCAAGGUUAAAAUGAGUAGAAAUCUUUUCAAGUUUAGCAACACCUUGAGAAAUUACAUCUAUAAUAAAAUGAAAUUUCACAUCAACAUGUUUAGAUCUAUUAUGUAGCAUAGGAUUUCUACUCAAAUAUAUAGUAGAUUGGCUAUUAGAAUGUAAGACAACAUCAUUUAUGAAACCAAAUUCAUUUAGAAGUCCUUUUAGCCAAAUUUAUUCUUUAAUUGUAUCAGUAGCAGCUAUAUAUUCUGCUUCAGUUGAAGAUAAUGCAACAAUCUUUUGUAAUUGUGAUUUUCAGCUUAUAUAGGAAUUACAUAAAGUGUAAACAUAGGCAGAAGUUGAUUUUCUGUUAUCCCUAUCACCUGCAUAAUCAGAAUCAGUGAAACCCCUCAAGAUAACAUCCUCAGAUUGUUUUCUAUGCUCAAUUCGUAGGUCACAAGUUCCAUUUAUAUAUCUAAGAAGCUAUUUCAUAGCUUCCCAAUGAACCUCACCAGGGUUUGACAUGUAUCUACUCAAUACACUUAUUGCAAAUGCCAAAUCAGGUCUAGAACAAAUCAUUAGAUACAUAACUGACCACUUAUUGCAAAUGCUAAAGGUAAGCUCACACUUUUAGCAUCAGACAGUGCAAAUCUUUCAAGUAUUUUCAAAGCAUAAGAUUUUUGAUUUAGACUUAGUAUGCCCUCUCUUCUAUUUCUUUUAAUUUCGAUACCCAAGAUUUUUCUAACAGAACCUAAAUCCUUCAUUUCAAAUUCAAAUUUUAAUUUGUCUUUAUUUGACUCUAUUUCCUUUAUGUCAUGACUUGCUAAAAGCAUGCCAUCCACAUAAAGUAGAAGAUAGAGUGAAUUCUCACCUCCGUUUCCUUUAUAAUAAAGACAAGUAUCGAAAUUACUUCUUUUAAAAUCAAGUCCAAACACAAAGGUGUCAAAUCUUUUGUACCAUUGUCUUGGAGCUUGUUUUAAACCAUAAAGUGACUUUUUAAGAAGGCAUACUAAGUUUGAAUUUUUAUUCACUUCAAAGCCUUUAGGUUGUUCCAUAAAAAUGAUUUCUUCAAGAUCUCCAUUUAAAAAACUCAGUUUUUACAUCUAAUUGAUCCAAUUCCCAAUUAAAUUGAGCUGCAAGGGCAAGUAUGACUCUAACAGUUGUAAAUUUUACAACUAGAGAAAAGAUUUCAUUGAAAUCUAUUCACUCUUUUUGGGCAUAACCCUUAGUCACAAGUCUUGCUUUAUAUCUAAUGUCAUUCUCAUAUUUUUCACCUCUUUUGAUUUUAAAAAUUCACUUACAAUCUAUAACUCUCUUUCCCUUAGGUAUUUUCACUAAGGUCCAUGUUUUAUUCUUCCUCAAUGAUUCCAUUUCAUCAUGCAUUGCAUUCAGCCAAUGCUUAGAGUCAUUGUUACUCAUAGCAUCUUUAUAGGACUCGGGUUCAUUUUCAAUGAACCCUUGAACAGUUAGAAGGAAUAUUUCAUCAUCAAAUCUCACAGGUGGUCUUAUUUCUCUCAUUUCUCUAUCUCUAGCAAGUUGAUAAUCAUUCAAUGGUUGAUUAACUUCAAAAUCAGAUUCAUUUUGAUCAGUUUCUUCAUCAUUUUGAGCCUCAAUUUCAAUAUUUUCAAUCUGUUCAUGUUGUAGAUUAUCAUUAUUAACUUGCUCCACCUCAAUUUCAGUUUCCUUUCCUUUAUUUUCAGUCUGACCAAAUUCAUUAGUGUUAUUUUCAGAUUUCAAACAAGGCAGAUCAAAUUCAUUAAACCCCACAUUUCUACUUAUAAUGAUCUUAUAACCUUUGGUCUCUCUUACCCAAAGUCUAUACCCCUUUACCCCUUGACCAUAGCCCAAAAAAACAUACUUAAGGGCCCUAGGUUCAAGUUUCCCUUCAGAUUAAUGUACAAAGGUUGCACACCCAAAUAUUUUUAGAUUACUCAAAUCUACAGGUUUUCCUGUCCAAACUUCUUCAGGGGAUUUAAAUUGUAUAGUACUAGCGAGACUUCUAUUUAUGAGAUAACUAGUAGUUUUUGCAGCUUCCCCCCAAAAUAACUUGGGAAGACCAGAACCUAAUAACAUGCAUCUAACUCUCUCAAGAAUAGUUCGGUUCAUUCUUUCAGUCAAGCCAUUCUGUUGUGGGGUGUGUGUCACUAUUCUGUGUCUUAGAAUACCAUGCAAUUUGCACAAUUCAUCAAAUUCGUAAUUGCAAAAUUCAAGCCCAUUAUCAGUCCUCAAUACUAAUCUUUUUAUUUGUUUGAUUCUCAAUCAAGGUUUUCCGUUCUUUAAAAGCACUAAAAGUGUUGGACUUAUGUUUAAGCAGAAAGAGCCAAUUUUUCCUAGAAAAAUCAUCUAUAAUUAAAAGGAAAAAUCUGAAACUAGGUGGGCACAUAAGCUGGUCCCCAAAGAUCAGCAUGCAAAUAUUCAAGUAUAGACACAUAUUUAUGCAUCCUAGUUAGAAAUGGUAAUCUAUUUUGCUUUCCUAGUAUGCAAUGAUCACAAAAACUAAGUUUCUCAAUUAUAUCUUUACCAAAAGCACCUUGUUUUUUCAAAAUCUGAAGUCCUUUGUCACUAAUAUGGGCCAAUAUUUUAUGCCAUAAUUGUGACUUAUCAUUGGGGGCAGAAAUUGCUGCUGAUGUAGAGUCAAAAAAAUUUUGAGUAUAUAAAAUGUAAAGCCCAUGUCUCUUGGGGGCUUCAACAACAAGUUGAGAGCCCCUCAAGAUCUUAAUCUAUCCCUUAUUAAUCACAAUAUUGUAGUUUAGGUCAUCUAUGACACCUAAGGAUAUCAAAUUUCUUUGUAGGUCAGGAACAUACCUGGUCUUCUCUAAGAUCAAUUCAUUAUUACCAUCCAACCUUAAGGUGAUUGCUCCUAUUCCUUUAACCUGACAAGACAUGUAAUUACCCAUUAACACUUGGCCUCCAUUUACAUUUUCAAACUCACUAAACCAUUCUCUUUUAGGACACAUAUGAAAGGUGCAACCGGAGUCAAGGAUCCACUCCUGACUAGGUGGAGUGUGUACAGCAACAUAGACCUCAUCUAGGUUGGUCUCAUUAUUAUAGGCUAACGCAGCACCUCCAUCAUUAUUAAACUUAUUCCUCAAAUCAUUAAGUCUUUUAUGGCAAUCUUUUAUAAAGUGACUUUCACCUAGACAGUAAAAACAUUUUUUACCCUUAGUCUUGGUUCUCAUUUUGUCUUUAAAGUUCACUUUCCUUUUGUGUCCUAGUUUCUUAUUGAAGUUAGCAAUUUUUGGAUUCAAAUUUGGUUUGGACUUAACCAUCAAAUUUUCACCACUAACAGAUUUUCUUUUCUCAGAUUUUGACUCUAACUCUUUGUUUCUUAAAGCACUUAUUAUCACAUCAGUGGUUAGAGUUUCCCUUCCAUAUUCAAUAGUAUUUUUAACAUCUUUAUAUUUAUCACUUAUUGAAUUCAACAAAACCACAGCCAACAGAUCUUUUGAGAGUUUCUCAUCACAGUUAGCUAGGUCACGGGAUAGUCUGUUGAAUCUGUCAAGAUUUGCCUCAAGAUCAAUAGAUGGGUCCAAUUUGAAACCAAAAAAUUGUUUUAGAAGAUACACUUUAUUAGGCAUGGUUUUAUUCAAAUAAGUAUCUUCUAAUUUUUUCCACAACUCAGCAGCAGUUUCUGUUUCACCAAUCUCUCUUAACACAUUGUCAGACAAAUGCAAGAAUAUAGAACUUCAUGCAAUUUCAUCAAGUUCAGUUUUCUUAGUUUCUUCCAUUUCUUCUGGCCAUGUUUCAUCAAUGGAUUUAGCACAUUUUUGUUGAAGUAAAAGAGCUCACAUUUUCUGGCUCCAGAGACUAAAGUCUCCUUUACCAUUAAAAAUUUCCCAUUCAACUUUUGUUAACAUAAUCAAAAAACCACAAUUUGAUAAUAAAGUGUGCAUGCAGAUCACUUGCAAAUAUGAUAGUAUAUACAACUUGCAAGAAGUCAAAUAUCAUACACGGUAAACAAAAUUAGAGUGUACAGUCAACAAGUUGUAUGUGUCAAACUAUUCAGUAAGAAAACUCAGCAAUUCAUUUACUAUAGAAUAGGCAGUUUACUCAAAAACAGCACAUAUAUGGUCACAUAUACCUAAGUCACAGCAUGCUAUGUACAGAGUAAUAAAUACAUGCAAGAAUCAUGUAAUGAAACUAGAUCAUUGACUGAAGUCAAGGCAACCCUAAGAUUCCAGACAACUCAAGAGGUUUCUGGACAUAGGUAUUGCCAAGAGAAGUCACAAAUCUAGGGUUUAAGGCUCGGUUGUAGAAAUCUCACAAUACAGGCAACUUCAGUAUAUGUAACUUGAAGAAUAUGGAACUAACUCACCAAAGAAACCUUGUUAGGGUUUCAUGAAAAUAACGAGAUCAACUGAACUAGUGCAAGAAACCUUUGAAUCUACCAACACCGGCACCAAGAACCCCCGUCACGAGAUUUGAUACUUCUGUUAUAAGAAGUUCAAGAAAAUCAGCCCACUUAUUUUACAAAAACACGAAAUAAUAAACUGCAAAUCAAAGAAACAUAAAAAAAAAAUGUAAAGAACACGAUAUUUUCGCCCUAAGGCAAGAGGUUAGGAACCGGAGUUCCUAAUCCCCUUUUGAGCUUCCACCACCGGAAGGAAUCACUAUAUUAACUGGAAUCUCCAAAAAAUUAUAGAUCACAGUUCAUGGCACUCAGGCGAAUUCACAUCAAGAUUUCGCACACAACAACCCACACUGCAUAUUAGAAUAUCCACUCAAGGAUUACCCUACAAAACCACUCAAGAUCUAUUAUGGGGCUGAGAAUACAUUUAGAUCUACAGGUGGCUUUUUGAAUGCAAAAGGAGAAUCGAAGAACCAACAACAGAGAGUUCGAGAAAGAGAGCUGAAAAAUGAAAAGUCACACCAUCUCAAACCCUAGAAGCCAAAUUAAUAUCGAAAGAGCUAGAAGAUUCCUCAUCAACGGUGAGUAGAGUGACACUUGGCAAGAUCUGGAGCGUCUGUUCUUAUUAAAGAAAAACGGGUUUCAGCAACACACGUUUUAUGCCAAGUAGAUCAGCCCAGCUCAGUGAUCAAAUGAUCCAGCCCACAAGCCCAUCAGUUUUAAUAGUCUAGCCCAAUCAUCAUUGUGCCACAAUAUUUUCUCUAUAGGGAAUGUAGUUGAGACGGUUCGUAGUGUGAGGAAAGUAAUGGGCGAGAUUAGACGAUUGAAUAACAUGGACGAGGAAGAGGUGUUUACGUUUUCUAAGCAGAUUAAUGCGCAUUAUGAUAUCGUGACGGUGGUGCAUUUUGCUGCUGGAGGUAUAGUGACGCCUGCUGAUGCUGCACUGAUGAUACAAUUGGGAUGUGAUGGAGUGUUCUUGGGACCAGAGGUUUUCAGUUUUGAUGAUCCUUACAUGAGGGUUUGGGCUAUUUUGCAGGUUGUUAGGAGUUAUAAUGAUCCUUUGGAGUUGGCGCAGGUGAGCAGUGGUUUAGAGAUGCUAUGGCAGGGUUAAAUCUUGGUGAGAAUAGGGUUGAGCCAUUUGGUGCUGCAAGUACUUACUGAUUUGUUGAUGAGACCUGCAUUGAAUAUUUAUAUCGUUUUUUUUUUGGAGUAUUGGGAAUGACGAUGUCUUUGAAUUUACUAUGAAAUCACUAGUGUUUGUGUCUUCUUGUGUCGAAAAAUUACAGGAAAUUGAGAAUAUAAUUGUUAUUUAGCUUGUACAAGUACUAUUGCAGUAACAUUGUUUGGAGCAAAAGUUAAUUUAAGCUUUUUUAUUUUGGCCAAAUGAAAUUUUAUAACUUCGAAAAAAAUGUAAUGACACUUCAUUCAAGUAUACCGUGGACACAUAGAAGCUUGUUAUUCACCACCGUUUAGUCAAUGACAAAGGCUAAAUUACCUAGGUCAUAUGAUGGUUUGAACCAUUCUUUAUAGGACUUUAUUGAACCAUUCUUUAUAUUGACUAUACAUAGCUUGUUUUUGCUUUCAUACACGUGUCAUGAGAAUUGAUGAAAGUAUGCUUAUUUCUCUAAGCCCAAGAUUGUCACAUGUGCUCUAACAUUUAGGAAUUAAAUAGAGCCAAUUUAUCUGCGAAUUUGAGAUGGCCGAAGGUGGUUCAAACCAUCAAUCAUCAUCAUAAUCUAUGCAACUAAAUAUGUCGUGUUAAUGGUAAAAAAAUUUGUUGUUCGUAUUUUGAAUCAUUAAUAAUGAAAAGUUAUAUUCUCAUGUUUAUUUUGAUCUCAUUUCUUAUUGUAUCGUUCAAUUUAAUAAAAAAUUUUGAUUAUUAGUUCAAAUAUCUUGUAGGGGCCAUACAAAGAGUUAUGGAUAAUAGAGCUUCCUUCAAUUCAAAUAGCAACAAGGCAAGUUCGUAAAUUCAAGUACCCCAUUAUCAAGUUGUUUGACAAUGUAUAUUUGUAUAUUCAUAAACCAGUGAUUUAUUUUGGUUGAGGGUUUGAUGUAUCUAUGUGUUUAUAUUUAUGAGUAUAUAACUAGCUAUUUAUGUAUUCGAGGUCCUACGCACGGAAAAUGAAGUGAACAUGCUGUGCUUACUACUAAACAUAAAUUGCAAGUAGAAUUUAACAAAAAUGGAGAAGCCAUUGGAGAGAAUGCAUGUGCUUGGGCUAAUGAAAUUGGAUUUAUUUUUCGUUCGAUAGCACCUCUACCAAUCAAAAAGUGGAAAGAGAUUGGUGAUGCUUCUAAGAGUCCACUUUUGGAUCAUCUGCAUGUACUUCUCCUUCACUUUAUAUGUCUCUCUUUAUUAAGUACACGUGCAAGUUUUUCUCUAAUAAUUUUUUUUUUAAGGAAAAAUUCGAGUUUGAAUUGAACCAGCCAAUUAAAGAUGCUAUUGACCGUUCAAUGAACAAGAAGUGGAAGGAGUAUCGUUGUAGAUUGCAUAAAAAAAUUUGAAGGCAUAGGUGGCAAUGAAGAUAUUAGACUUGCAAAAAGAAACAAGCCUGCAUCUAUAGCAGAGCAAAGUGAUUUGGAUUUCCUAUGUGAUUAUUUUGCUAGUGAUGAGAUGAAGGUUAGUACUAUUCAAUGAUACUAUUUUUAGUACAUGUUCUUAAUGGAAUCGAUGCCGUACUUGGAACCUUUCUCAUGAGUGUGGAAAAAUAGUGAUAUUCGUAAAUUACUAGAGUUAAGUCUAGUUUUGUAGAUUGGUUUGGCUCUUAACAUUAUGAUCUAGUAUGUUUCCAAGUGUUUUUGUGAAAA